UAGACACCGGCUAUAAAACAUAACACAUUGCAUGCAUCUCCAGAUCUGCUUCCAGAUUUAAUAACUUGAAAUCAUUCUGCCAUGGCUCUCUGCAGUGAGAAUUCCCUGAUGAUUUUCCCUGGGCCUUUUGGAUAAAAGCUCUGAAAUUGGCAAGAAAUAUUUUUCUCAACACUCUCCAGUUCCUUCUAGACUUUACUUGCAAAAGCUGUUGUUCUGCACAGAAAUGGUGACCCCGACGUGAUACUCUGAACAGUGUACCACUGAGGUCGGGGAAAAGCCUGGAGCGGCCCAGCCGGAGGCGGAUCAGCUGGACUGAAGACCGGGCGGAGGCGUACGGACGUUCUGCAUUUUUUUGAAGAAGUCACCGUAAAGGGUGAGCAGCUGGGAGCGGGAGGAGGGAAGAGUGAAGUUAUGGGGCAAAAUAUAUCCUCGAGGAAGAAGCUAUAGUUAAACUCCUCCUGCCUAUUCUCGCUAUGAGAGUGCUUAAAUAGGAAGAAAGUAACAUAUGUAGACUAUUAAUUCGGUAUAGAAUUAAUGGCUACCCGAGAGAAAACGAGAAGGCUUUUAAACGUUAACUUUGGGACGAUAAAGGGCAGAAAUUAUGGAAUAAGGUCAGCAAUGGAGAUGAUAAAGAAACUAAAUCACUAGCGACUACUUGGAAGCUUAUAUUGUCCACUCAAGGCCUCUUAGAGAAGCUGAGAACAGAAUCUGCUGUGAGAGAGAGGGGCGUUCCUCAAUCACCGGGGUCCUGGCGUGGCGUGAAUCAUCGGACGUAUCAUCAGUGAGACUCCAGCGCAUGGACAGCCCACGAUACUCAUUUAGUGAAUCCAUGCUUGGAGCGUGGACGCGUGAUUAGAAUAUAGUUACGUAUAUAAGGAGACUUGUUUCUGUAAUAAAUGGCUUUAGCGUGAUUCACAUUGAA